AAUGAACGCUAGCGGCAGGCCUACCACAUGCAAGUCGAGGGGUAACUAGAGUGAUAGCAAUAUUACUUUGGCUAGACCGGCGCACGGGUGCAUAACACGUAUGCAACCUACCUUAUACUGGGGAAUAACUUCGAGAAAUCGGCGCUAAUACCCCAUAACAUUGCGAAGAGGCAUCUCUUUGCAAUUAAAGCUCCGGCGGUAUAAGAUGGGCAUGCGUCCAAUUAGCUAGUUGGUGAGGUAACGGCUCACCAAGGCUACGAUUGGUAGGGGUUCUGAGAGGAUGAUCCCCCACACUGGUACUGGGACACGGACCAGACUCCUACGGGGGGCAGCAGUGAGGAAUAUUGCGCAAUGGACGAAAGUCUGACGCAGCCAUGCCGCGUGCAGGAUGACGGCCCUAUGGGUUGUAAACUGCUUUUGUACGGGAAUAAACCCUUCUACGUGUAGGAGGCUGAAGGUACCGUAAGAAUAAGCACCGGCUAACUCCGUGCCAGCCGCCGCCGUAAUAC
rnacentral:rRNA from 1 species